GGAAUAUUGGGCAAUGGGCGCAAGCCUGACCCAGCAACGCCGCGUGAAGGAAGAAGGCCCUCGGGUUGUAAACUUCUUUUAUCAAGGACGAAACAAAUGACGGUACUUGAUGAAUAAGCCACGGCUAACUACGUGCCAGCAGCCGCGGUAAUACGUAGGUGGCAAGCGUUAUCCGGAUUUACUGGGUGUAAAGGGCGGGUAGGCGGGACUGCAAGUCAGAUGUGAAAACCAUGGGCUCAACCCAUGGCCUGCAUUUGAAACUGUAGUUCUUGAGUGUUGGAGAGGCAGGCGGAAUUCCGUGUGUAGCGGUGAAAUGCGUAGAUAUACGGAGGAACACCAGUGGCGAAGGCGGCCUGCUGGACAAUAACUGACGCUGAGGCGCGAAAGCGUGGGGAGCAAACA
rnacentral:rRNA from 1 species